rnacentral:lncRNA from 1 species
GCGCGAGAUAAAUCACGAGAGGAAGCUUAAAUCUGUCGUUUGAAUUUAGGACCACCUCGGUUCACAAUGGUCCGUAGUGGAAAAAAUGGUGACCUUCAUCUUAAACAGAUUGCAUAUUACAAACGAACUGGUGAAUAUCAUUCAACUACACUGCCAAGUGAGAGAAGUGGCAUAAGAAGAGCAGCAAAAAAAUUUGUCUUCAAAGGAGGUGCCUGCAAAAUCUUCCUACUUUGAGUACUCCCAG